rnacentral:rRNA from 1 species
ACCUGCGGAAGGAUCAUUACCGAGUGAGGGCCCUCUGGGUCCAACCUCCCACCCGUGUCUAUCGUACCUUGUUGCUUCGGCGGGCCCGCCGUUUCGACGGCCGCCGGGGAGGCCUUGCGCCCCCGGGCCCGCGCCCGCCGAAGACCCCAACAUGAACGCUGUUCUGAAAGUAUGCAGUCUGAGUUGAUUAUCGUAAUCAGUUAAAACUUUCAACAACGGAUCUCUUGGUUCCGGCAUCGAUGAAGAACGCAGCGAAAUGCGAUAAGUAAUGUGAAUUGCAGAAUUCAGUGAAUCAUCGAGUCUUUGAACGCACAUUGCGCCCCCUGGUAUUCCGGGGGGCAUGCCUGUCCGAGCGUCAUUGCUGCCCUCAAGCACGGCUUGUGUGUUGGGCCCCCGUCCCCCUCUCCCGGGGGACGGGCCCGAAAGGCAGCGGCGGCACCGCGUCCGGUCCUCGAGCGUAUGGGGCUUUGUCACCUGCUCUGUAGGCCCGGCCGGCGCCAGCCGACACCCAACUUUAUUUUUCUAAGGUUGACCUCGGAUCAGGUAGGGAUACCCGCUGAACUUAAGCAUAUCUA